rnacentral:rRNA from 1 species
ACCGUACUCCUACGGGAGGCAGCAGUGGGGAAUUUUGGACAAUGGGCGAGAGCCUGAUCCAGCAAUGCCGCGUGCAGGAUGAAGGCCUUCGGGUUGUAAACUGCUUUUGUACGGAACGAAAAGCUUCGGGUUAAUACCCUGGAGUCAUGACGGUACCGUAAGAAUAAGCACCGGCUAACUACGUGCCAGCAGCCGCGGUAAUACGUAGGGUGCAAGCGUUAAUCGGAAUUACUGGGCGUAAAGCGUGCGCAGGCGGUCUUGUAAGACAGAGGUGAAAUCCCCGGGCUCAACCUGGGAACUGCCUUUGUGACUGCAAGGCUGGAGUGCGGUAGAGGGGGAUGGAAUUCCGCGUGUAGCAGUGAAAUGCGUAGAUAUGCGGAGGAACACCGAUGGCGAAGGCAAUCCCCUGGGCCUGCACUGACGCUCAUGCACGAAAGCGUGGGGAGCAAACAGGAUUAGAUACCCUGGUAGUCCUUGAC